rnacentral:lncRNA from 1 species
UGCUUUGGGAGUGCAUGCUUAAAACAAUCCCGAGGAAUCCUCUAGUGCUACGACUAAUUAACCCUAAUUCAUCUGUUUUGUAAAUCUGAAUUUACUUCCAAGGAUAGAGUGUUUGGAGAAUAAAAGACGAGAUGAAGUACAAUUAAUAAAGGAAGGCUUCCUGGAGGGGGUGAGCCAGGGCCAAAUCUUAACGAAGGCAGUGAUCGCAGACCCCUGUAAACAACAGAAAGGAGAAAGGCAAUGUUUCAGUGAAGGGCAGCCUCAUAGCUGGCAGCAAAAGCCCUUCCUGUGACUAACAAUUUGAAUGUCUCUUGGGGUCAUCUAAGUAUUUACAGUUUACAAGGUCUUUCUUGCAUGUCACAGUGAUGAUAACAUUGAGGACACAUGUGCAUCCAGGACAGCAGGGCUAAGAACUGAAUCACAGCUUCCUAGUUAUCCUGCCAACAGCCUACUGGGCUUGGUGUUAACUAGCCCCCUUUUCCAGGAGAGGAAACUAAGGCUCAGGGUGCUGAAAGUCACACGUUUGGUGUGGAAGUUGGCUGGUAAACAAGAGCUUAGAUCUAAAUUCAAGUCUCCCUACCCUGAGGUUCUAAUCAUAUCAUCCUGUGGGGCUCAGAGCAGGAUGGAGAAGGGCAGGCAGUAUCGCAAAUGUACGGCAACACCAAUACAGCCAGAUCUUGGAAAUACUGCGGGUUUGGUUCCAGGCCACCGUGAUAAAGUGAAUAUCGCAAUAAAGCAAGUCACACAAAUAUUUUGGCUUCCCAAUGCAUGUAAAAAUUAUGUUCAUUCUCCACUGUAGUUUAUUACGUGUGUGAUAGGAUUAUGUCUAAAAAAAGCAAAAGUACAUAGCCUAAUUUUAAAAUACUUUAUUGCUAAAAUUUGCUGUCAUCUAAGUCUUCAAUGUGUUAUAAUUUUUUGUCUGGUAGAGGGUUUUCCCUUGAUGCCAAUGACUGAAGACUGAUUAGGGUGGCGGUUGCUGAAGGCUGGGAUGACUGUGACAACUUAAAGUAAGAAAACAGUGAAUUUUGCCACAUCUGUUCACAAACAAUUUCUCUGUAGCAAGCAAUGUUGCGUAACAGCAUUUUACCCACAGUAGAAUUUCUUUCAAACUUGGAGUCAGUCCUUUCAAACUCUGCCACUAGUUCAUCAACUAAAUUUAUUUAACAUUCUAAAUCCUUUGUUGUCAUUUCACCAAUCUUCCGAGCAUCUUCACCAGAAAUAGUUUCCAUCAAGAAAUCACUUUCGGAGUUUCUGUCGUGGCUCAGUGGAAACGAGUCUGGCUGGCAUCCAUGAGGACGCAGGUCUGAUCACUCAGUGGGUUAAGGAUCCAGUGCUGCCAUGAGCUGUGGUGUAGGUCACAGAUGCAACUUGGAUCUGGCAUUGCUGUGGAUGUGGCUUAGGCUGGCAGUUACAGCUCUGAUUCGACCCCCAGCCUGGGAACCUCCAUAUGCUGAGGGUGCAGUCCUAAAAAGAAAAAAGACAAAAAAAAAAAAAAAAAAAAGAAAAGGAAAAAAAAAGAAAUCACUUUCUUUGUCCAUCCAUAAGAAGCAACUCUUCAUCUGUUCCAGUUUUGUCAUGAGACUACAGCAAUUCAGUCACAUCUUCAGGCUCCACUUCUAAUUCCGGUUCUCUUGCUAUUUCCACCACAUCUGCAAUGACGUCUUGAACCCCUUGAAGUCAUCUGUGAGCAUUGGAAUCAAUGACUUCCAAACGCCUCUUAGUGUUGAUAUUUUAACCUCUUCCCCGAAUCACACAUAUUCUUAAUGGCAUCUAGAAUGGUGAAUCCAUCCCAGAAGGAUUUCCAUUUCCUUUGCUCAGAUCCAUCAGAGGAAUCACUAUCUAUAGCCUUACAAAUGUAUUUCUUAUAUAAUAAGACUUGAAAGUUGAAAUUACUCCUUGAUCUGCAGAAUGGAUGCUGUGUUAGCAGGCAUGAAAACAACAUUAAUUUCAUUGCACAUCUCCAACAAAGCUCUUGGGUGACCAGGUGCAUUUGUCAAUAAACAGAAAUAUUUUGGAAGGAAUCUUUAUUCCAGAGCAGUAGUUCUCAACUGUGGGCUUAAAAUGUUCCAUUAACCAUGUUGUCAACAGAUUUCUUGAUAUCCAGGCUUUAGUGUUCCAUUUAUAGCACAGGCAGAGUAGAUUUAGCAUAAUUCUUAAGGUCCUAAGAUUUGGGGAAUGGUAAAUGAGCAUUGGCUUCUACUUAAAGCUACAUUAGCUUCUUCUUUUUUUAUAUACAUUUUAUUGGAUUAUAGUUGACAUUCAAAUUGUGUUAGUUUCAGGCAUACAGCAGAGUAAAUCAGUAAUACUAUGCAUAUAUCCAUCCCUUUUCAUAUUCUUUUCCCAUAUAGGUUGUUACACAGUAUUGAGUAGAUUACCCUAUGCAAUACUGUAGGUCCUUGUUACUUAUCUAAUUUUAUAUAUAGUAGUGUGUAUAGCUUCUAACAAGGGAGUCAGCCAUCUCUUUGAAGUAGGCAUUGACUUUUCCCUAGCUUUGAAAGUCUUGGAUGGCAUCGUUUUCCAAUAUAAGGCAAUUUUGUCUACACUGAAAAUCUGUUGUUUCGUAUAGCCAUCUUCAUGAAUUAUCUCAGCUAGAUCUUCUAGAUAACUUGCUGCAGCUUCUACAUCGGCACUUGAUGCUUCGCCUUGUACUUUUAUGUUCUGGAGAUGGCUUCUUUCCUGAAACCUCACGAACCAUUGUCUGCCAGCUCCCAGCUUCUGCACUGUCCUCACCUCUCUCAGCCUUCACAGAAUUGAAGAGUUAGAGCCUUGCUCCAGAUAAAGCUUUGGCUUAAGGGAAUAUUGUGGUGGGUUUCAUCUACCCAAACCACUAAAACUUUCUCUCUAUAUGCAAUAAGGUUGUUUCACUAUCUUAUCAUUCCUGUGUUCACUGGAGGAGCACUUUUAAUUUCUUUCAAGAACUUUUCCUUUGUGUUCACAACUUGACUACCUGUUUGGUGCAAGAGGCCUAUCUCAGACUUUUGAUAUGCCUUCCUCACUAAGCUUAAACCUUUCUAGCUUUUGGUCUAAAGUGAGAGACAUGCUGCUCUUCCUUUCACUAGAACAUGUAGAGGGCAUUUUUUGGGGGGUUAUGAAUUGGUCUGAUUUCAAUGUUUUUAUGUCUCUGGGAAUAGGGUGGCCCAAGGAAGUGGGGGGGGGAGGGUAUGACCAGAUGGUAAAGCAGUCGGGACACACAAUGUUUACUGAUUAAGUUUUCUGUCUUAUAUGAGUGCAGCUCAUAGUGCCCCAAAUCAGUUGCAAAAGUAACAUCAAAGAUCACUGACCACAGAUCACUGUAACAUAUAAUAAUAAUGAACAAAACCUGAAAUAUUGCGAGAAUUGGCAAAAUGUGACACAGAGACACAAAGUGAGCAAAUGCUCUUGAAAAGACGGUGCUGAUAGGCUUGCUUAUGCAGGGUUGCCACAGACUUGGUUUGUAUUAAAAAAUCAAAAAACAAACAAAAACCCCACAGUAUCUGCGAAGUGCAACAAAGCAAAGGUAGUUUUCUUCUCCCUCCUGCCUCAUGGUGGUCUCUUUGCGGUCUUCACUAGUGGCUGCUGCCUUCUCCUGUCCCAGACCUCUAAAUGCUAUCAAGGUUCAGGGCUCAUUACCCUCCGCUCCCACUGCUUCCUCCCUGGGUCACCUUAGCUAGUUACGUGGCUUUAAAUGCCAUUCAUGAACUCAUGACACCCAGAUAUGUGUCUGCAGCCCUGACCACUCCUCUAAGCUCCAGGCUGCCCACACCAUGUCUCCACUUAGAAAUCUAGCCUGUCCUAAACAGAACUUUUCAGUGUUCCCCCAAACGUGGGCCUUUCCUGGGCUUUCCCACCUAGAAGAUCGAAGCAUCAUUUGAACUCAGGCCAAAAAAGUCUGGAGUCAAGUUAUUUCUCACCACAUCUACACCUACUUCACUAACCAUUGUCUUUUCUUGCUUGGACUGGAAAAUUGGGACAAUUCCUUCUGGCUCCUCUCUGGUCCCCUUCAUUCACCUCCUCCCAAUAAGCUGUUUUCUUUGUACAGCCAGACAGGUAUUUGCAACAUGUAAAUCAGAUCAUUCAUGAUUUCCCUACCCCAAACGCAUACAGUAGUACUACUUUAUCCAUGGUUUCACUUGCCGUGGUCUUAAAAUGUUAAAUGGAAAAUUCUAGAAAUAAGCAAUUCAUAAGUUUUCCAUUGCCCUCUCUGCUGAGUAGCAUGAUGAGAUAUGGCACCAUCCCAAUCCAUCCGCCCAGCACCUCAGUCAUCCCUUUGUCUAUUAGCCACUUAGUAACCACCCGGACUAUCAGGUUGACUGUCCCAGUAUCUAUCUCCCACUGUCCCACUGCUUGUGCUCAAAUAACCAUAACUUUGCUUAAUCAUGGUCCCACUAUUAUUUACUUAAUAAUGGUCACCACUGUGCACAACAGCGUCUCAGUAGAGCCAGGUCACAGUGUCAAUCACUGGCCCAGCACAGUGGCUUAAAGGAUCCAGUACUGCUGUAGCUGCGGCAUAGGUCACAACUGUGGCUCUGGAACUCCAUAUGCUGUGGGGCAGCCAAAAAAGAAAAUGUAAUAACAACAAUGGCCCCAGAGGGCAAGAAUGGUAAUGCUGGCAGUUUGGAUGUGCCAAAGAGAAGCUGUAAAAUGCUUCUUUUCAUUGAAAAGGUGAACAUUCUCAAUAAGGAAAGAAAAAAAAAAAUCUGUGCAUGAAAUUGUGAAGGAGAAAGAAGAAAUUCAUGCUAGUUUUGCUGUCACACUUCAACCCACAAAAGUUACAGCCACAGUGCAUGGUAAGUGCUUAGUUAAGGCGUUAGGUUUGGAGUUCCUGUGGUGGCUCAGUGGAUUGAUUACAAGCCUGACUAGUAUCCAAGAGGAUGCAGGAUCGAUCCCUGGCCUCACUCAGUGAAUUAAGGAUCUGGCAUUGCCAUGAGUUGUGGUGUAGUUCGCAGACGCAGCUCAAAUCCGGUGUUGCUGUGGCUGCAGCAUAGGACUGAAGCUGCAGCUCCGAUUCAACCCCUAGCU